rnacentral:ncRNA from 1 species
AAAUCCUGCCUAUUUACCAAAAACAUCACCUCUAGCAUUUAGCAGUAUUAGAGGCACUGCCUGCCCAGUGAGUUAUAAAUUUAAUGGCCGCGGUAUCCUGACCAUGCAAAGGUAGCAUAAUCACUUGUCUCUUAAAUAGGGACUAAUGUGAAUGGCAUAAUGAAGGUUU